UUGCUUUCUUUUUUAAAUUGUUAAGAAUAUACUACAUUUUUAUUUGCUUUAAUGUAACAUUUUCUCCAAGAGUGACUGGAAAUGUGACAUUUGACCUAUAAUCUUAUUCUGAGGGAUUUCAGUGCCAGUGCCUGUACGACGGCUGUAGUUAUCAACCAACAUGACCUUUACUUUAUGUAUAGUCUGACUACCACGAUCAAGGAAUGGCUUCUACAAUAGGAAAGGUAAUUACUUGCAAAGCAGCUGUGAGCUGGGAACCCAAAAAACCUCUGAGCAUCGAGACGAUUGAGGUUGCUCCUCCAAAAGCCGGCGAAGUUAGGAUCAAGGUAUGUGUAU